rnacentral:rRNA from 1 species
GUAGCGAAAUUCCUUGUCGGGUAAGUUCCGACCUGCACGAAUGGCGUAACGAUGGCGGCGCUGUCUCCACCCGAGACUCAGUGAAAUUGAAAUCGCUGUGAAGAUGCAGUGUAUCCGCGGCUAGACGGAAAGACCCCGUGAACCUUUACUGUAGCUUUGCACUGGACUUUGAGCCUGCUUGUGUAGGAUAGGUGGGAGGCUUUGAAGCGUGGACGCCAGUUCGCGUGGAGCCAUCCUUGAAAUACCACCCUGGCAUGCUUGAGGUUCUAACUCUGGUCCGUAAUCCGGAUCGAGGACAGUGUAUGGUGGGCAGUUUGACUGGGGCGGUCUCCUCCUAAAGAGUAACGGAGGAGUACGAAGGUGCGCUCAGACCGGUCGGAAAUCGGUCGCAGAGUAUAAAGGCAAAAGCGCGCUUGACUGCGAGACAGACACGUCGAGCAGGUACGAAAGUAGGUCUUAGUGAUCCGGUGGUUCUGUAUGGAAGGGCCAUCGCUCAACGGAUAAAAGGUACUCCGGGGAUAACAGGCUGAUACCGCCCAAGAGUUCAUAUCGACGGCGGUGUUUGGCACCUCGAUGUCGGCUCAUCACAUCCUGGGGCUGAAGCCGGUCCCAAGGGUAUGGCUGUUCGCCAUUUAAAGUGGUACGCGAGCUGGGUUUAGAACGUCGUGAGACAGUUCGGUCCCUAUCUGCCGUGGACGUUUGAGAUUUGAGAGGGGCUGCUCCUAGUACGAGAGGACCGGAGUGGACGAACCUCUGGUGUUCCGGUUGUCACGCCAGUGGCAUUGCCGGGUAGCUAUGUUCGGAAAAGAUAACCGCUGAAAGCAUCUAAGCGGGAAACUUGCCUCAAGAUGAGAUCUCACUGGGAACUUGAUUCCCCUGAAGGGCCGUCGAAGACUACGACGUUGAUAGGCUGGGUGUGUAAGCGUUGUGAGGCGUUGAGCUAACCAGUACUAAUUGCCCGUGAGGCUUGACCAU